rnacentral:misc_RNA from 1 species
AACUGAUACUACCUGCGGGAACCUGCGGAAGGAUCAUUACUGAGUGAGGGCCCUCUGGGUCCAACCUCCCACCCGUGUUUAACGAACCUUGUUGCUUCGGCGGGCCCGCCUCACGGCCGCCGGGGGGCAUCCGCCCCCGGGCCCGCGCCCGCCGAAGACACCUGUGAACUCUGUCUGAAGUUGCAGUCUGAGAAACUAUUUAAAUUAGUUAAAACUUUCAGCAACGGAUCUCUAGAUCGG